rnacentral:rRNA from 1 species
CCCUUAGAUGUUCUGGGCCGCACGCGCGCUACACUGAUUCGUGCAACAAGUUUUGUCCUUGGCUGAUAGGCCUGGGUAAUCUUUGAACGUGAAUCGUGAUGGGGAUAGAUGAUUGCAAUUAUUCAUCUUCAACGAGGAAUUCCUAGUAAACGCAAGUCAUCAGCUUGCAUUGAUUACGUCCCUGCCCUUUGUACACACCGCCCGUCGCACCUACCGAUUGAAUGGUCCGGUGAAAUCUUCGGAUCUGAGAGAUGUCUGAUUAAUUUCGGACGCCUUUUGGAAAAGUUGUUUAAACCUUACCAUUUAGAGGAAGGUGAAGUCGUAACA